GAAUAUGUCAGUUGUAGAUUUCAAUGAGAAGACUGACAGUGAAAUUCCAUGCAAUACCAACAAUGAUGUUGCCGACUAUGUAUCAGUUGAGGCAAACCUUGAAGAACCGGUAGUUGAAGAAAAACCUGAAGAAACAACGGUUGAGAAGAAACCUGAAGAACCAUCAAUUGAGGAGAAACGUGAAACACCAGCAUUUGAGAAGAAACCUGAAGAACCAAUAAUUGAGGAGAAACCUGAAGAACAAACAAUUGAAGAGGAGAAACAUGAAAGGAUAACUCUCCUGGAAAAGGUGAGGAUCAAGCAUUGUCACAAAGUUUAUCCAUCUUGUUAGUCGUGUAUACGAUACAAUUUACAUAUGCUUACCUACUGAAAGACUAAGUAAGACUUUAAAGUUCUUCUUGCAGAGUAUUCCAGUUGUAGUCCCGAACGACAAAACUGAAAGUAAAACUCCAAGCAUUACAAACAAUAAUGCUGCUCACUUUUCAGAAGUUGAGGAAAACCCUGAAGAACCUGCAGUAAAAGAAAAAACUGAAAAACCAGUUCUUGAAGAGAAACCUGAAGAACCAACAGUUGAAGAGAAAUCUGAAGAACCAGUUGAGGAGAAACCUGAAGAACCAACAGCUGAAGAGAAACCUGAAGAACCAGCAACUAAAGAAAAACAAGUGCUAGUAGGGGAGGAAACAGCUGAAGAACUAGCGCUUGAAGAGAAACCUGAAGAACUAACGAUUGAACAGACAGAUGAAGAACUAGUUGUUGAAGAUAAAACUGAAAAACCACCAAAUAAAGAGGAGAGACCUGAAACGGUAACUCUCCUUUAGCAGUGUCACAGAGUUUAUCCAUCCUAUUAGUUCUAUAUGUGCAACGAAUUCAUAUCUGUUUAUCUAUUGAAAUACUAAGUGAAAAUUCAAAUUUUCUUGCAGAAUUUGCCCAUUGCAGACUCAAAGGACCAGACUGACAAUGCAAUUCCAUGCGAUACCAACAAUGAUAUUGCUGACUAUGCAACAGUUGAGGAAAAACCUGAAGAAACAGUAGUUGAAGAAAAACAUGAAGAACCUGCAAUUGAAAAGAAAUUUGAAGAAUCAACAGUUAUGGAGAAACCUGAAGAACCAGCAGUGGAAGAAAAACCUGAAGAACCAACAGUUAAAGAGGAACCUGAAAAAUCAGUGAUGGAAGAGAAACCUGAAGAACCAAUUGUUGAGGAGAAACUUGAAGAACCAACUGUUGAAGAGAAACCUGAAAAAUCACUGAUUGAAGAAACACCUGAAGAACCAAUAUGGGAAGAAACACCUAAAGAACUAGCAUUUGAAGAGAAACCAGAAGAACCAGCAGUUGAAGAGGAGAAACCUGAAAAGGUAACUCUUUUGGAAGAGGUGAGUAUCAAGCAUUAGCACAUAGUUUAUCCAUCAUGUUAUUUCUGUAUGUGCAUCGAUUCACAUCUGCUUAUCUAUUGAAAGUCUAAAUGAGACUUUAAAUUCUUCUUGCAGAAUAUACCAGCUGUAGAUUUCAACGACAAGACUGACCGUGAAAUUCCAUGCGAUACCAACAAUGAUAUUGCUGACUAUGCAACAGUUGAGGAAAAACCUGAAGAACCGGUAGUUGAAGAAAAACAUGAAGAACCUGCAAUUGAAAAGAAAUUUGAAGAAUCAACGGUUAUGGAGAAACCUGAAAAACCAGUGGUUAAGGUACAACCUGAAGAACCAGCAGUGGAAGAAAAAGUUGAAGAACCAACAGUUAAUGAGGAACCUGAAAAAUCAGCGAUGGAAGAGAACCCUGAAGAAUCAAUUGUUGAGGAGAAACUUGAAGAACCAACUGUUGAAGAGAAACCUGAAAAAUCACUGAUUGAAGAAACACCUGAAGAACCAAUAUGGAAAGAAACACCUAAAGAACUAGCAUUUGAAGAGCAACCAGAAGAACCAGCAGUUGAAGAGGAGAAACCUGAAAAGGUAUCUCUUUUGGAAGAGGUGAGUAUCAAGCAUUAUCACAUAGUUUAUCCAUCCUGUUAUUUCUGUAUGUGCGACGAUUCACAUCUGCUUAUCUAUUGAAAGACUAAAUGAGACUUUAAAUUCUUCUUGCAGAAUAUGCCAGCUGUAGAUUUCAACGACAAGACUGACUGUGAAAUUCCAUGCAAUACCAACAAUGAUGUUGCUGAAUAUGUAGCAAUUGAGGAAAACCUUGAAGAACCAGCAGUUGAAGAAAAACAUGAAGAACCAACAGUUGAGGAGAAACCUGAAGAACUAGCAGUUGAAGAGAAACCCGAAAAACCAACAAUUGAGGAGAAACAUGAAGAACCAAUAGUUGAGAAGAAACCUGAAGAACCAGUAGUUGAGGAGAAACCAGAAGAACCACUAAUUGAAGAGGAGAAAUCUGAAAGGGUAACUUUCCUAGAAAAGGUGAGGAUCAAGCAUUGUCAAAAGGUUUAUCCAUCUUAUUAGUUGUGUAUGUGCGACGAUUCACAUCUGCUUACUUAUUGAAAGACUAAGUGAAACUUCAAAAUUCUUGCAGAGUAUGCUAGUUGUAGACUCGAACGACAAGACUGACAGUGAAAUUCCAUGCAAUACCAACAAAGAUGCUGCCCACUUUCCCGAAGUUGAGGCAAACCCUGAAGAACCAGCAGUUGAAGGAAAACCUAAAGAACCCGUUGAUGAAGAGAAACCAGAUGUACCAGUGGUUGAGAAACCUGAAAAACAAAUGGUUGAGGAGAAACUUGAAGAACCAAUGAUUGAGGAGAAAUCUGACGAACUAGUCGAGGAGAAAUCUCAACAACCAGCGGCUGAAAAGAAACCUGAAGAACCAGCAGCUAAAGAAUCACUUAAAGAGCUAGCAGGGGAGGAAACAACUGAAGAACUAGCACUUGAAGAGAAACUUAGAGAACCAACAGUUGAAGAACUAGUUCUUGAAGAUAAACCUGAAAACCCAGAAAAUGAAGAGGAUAAACUUGAAACAGUAACUCUCCAGGAAAAGGUAAGAAACAAGCAGUGUCACAGAGUUUAUCCAUCCUAUUAGCUCUACAUAUGCAAUGAAUUCACAUCUGUUUAUCCACUGAAAGACUAAGUGAAACUUUAAAUUUUUCUUGCAGAAUUUACCAAUUGCAGACUCAAACGACAAGACUGACAAUGCAACUCCCUGCAAUAACAACAAUGAUAUUGCUGACUCUGCAGCAGUUAAGGAAAAAACUGAAGAACCAGUAGUUGAGGAAAAACAUGAAGAACCGGCAACUGAAGAGAAAUCUGAAGAAUCAGAAUUUAUGAAAAAAACUGAAGAACCAGCGGUUGAGGUAAAACCUGAAGAACCAUCAGUGGAAGAGAAGCCUGAAGAACCAGCGGUUAGGAAAAAUCCUGAAGAACCAGCAGUUAAUGAGGAACCUGCAAAAUCAGCAACGGAAGAGAAACCUGAAGAACCAAUUGCUGAGGAGAAACUUGAAGAACCAACUCUUAAAGAGAAACCUGGAAAACCAGUAAUUGAAGAAACACCUGAAGAACCAACACUGGAAGUAACACCUAAAGAACAAGCAGAGAAACCUGAAGAACCAGUUGAAGAGGAAAAAACUGACAAGGUAACUCUUUUGGAAAAGGUGAGCAUCAAACACUGUCACAAAUUUUUGCCAUCAUAUUAGUUCUGUAUGUGCAACAAUUCACAUCUAAUUAUCCAUUGAAAGACUAAGUGAAACUUUAAUUCUUCUUGCAGAAUAUACCAGUUGUAGAUUUCAAUGAUACGACUGACAGUGAAAUUCCAUGCAAUACCAACGACGAUGUUGCUGAAGACGUAGCAGUUGAGGAAAACCUUGAAGAACCAUCAGUUGAGGAGAAACCUGAAGAAUUAGCGGUUGAAGAGAAACCUGAAAAACCAGCAAUUGAGGAGAAACGUGAAGAACCAAUAAUUGAGAAGAAACCUAAAGAACCAGCAGUUGAGGAGAAACCUGAAGAACAAACCGUUGAAGAGAGACUUGAAGAACCAACAAUUGAAGAUGAGAAACUUGAAGAACCAACAAAUGAAGAUGAGAAACUUGAAAGG
rnacentral:lncRNA from 1 species